rnacentral:lncRNA from 1 species
AACUAUCAAGUCUCAUGAGCUUAAUGAAAAUAGAUAAGUUGAGCCACUAAAUGAUAAUGCGGGUGGUUUGGCGUUGGGAAAUUGUAACAUUAAUGAAAUGAUGAGUGCUGAAAAAAGAAAAAAAAGGGUGUUAAGUCAAUUUUUGAAAUUGAAAAAUAAUGCUAGGAGAAACUUGAGGAAAAUUAAAAGAGUGGUAUUAAAGGGAGAAAGUGGAGACAAACAAGGAGUUUUAAGCCAACACUCAUUAGGGGGUAAAGAUAACGGAUAGGCUCCAAAUGGCUCACUAUCAGUGAUGGCUUUUAAAAUAGAAAAUUGGUGGAUUUAGAGAAUUG